GGAAAACUGGGAAUGAAAGAAGCAGCUUUGAAGACUCUCAAAGGAUCAAGAGCCUGUCUGCAAUUAGAAGAGACCAAAGACAAACCUCAGAGAACAAGAUUUCCAGAAUAUCCCCCAUUGAAUAGAGGUCAUCGGUUCUCUUGUGAGGAACUUCACAGCCGUUGCCUUGCAUGGAAAUAGCCCAACGAACAGACUGUAAAUUGGACUGGAUGGAGAUGGAUGGAGAUGAAAAGAACUGCAGAUGAAGAGGAGGAUGGAGAAAAAGAUUUGAAUGUGGAUAUGAUACUUAGAGAAUUCCAAGAACAACAAUGUCUGUUAAAGCCAAGCUUCAUAAGGGCACAAUUUUCUCUGACAAAAACAACUCAAAAUGUAAGGCACUGAGCAGACAAAGAGGUCUCUCGUAUUAAAUCUUAGUGUAAAUCAAGAAUUGAUUUUCCUUCACUUCUUAUGUCUUUUAUAAGCAUUUGUAACUACACUGUGUUUAUCAGAUGUUCUAAAUAAACACUUCAUUUGCAUUUUA